AGAAAGCCCAAAGAAUUCCAAGAGCCGAGCUUUCCCAAAUAUGCCUUGGUGGACCCCUCAUUAGGAAGAAAGUGAGGCUGCCUGUAGUGAAUCAGGCUCCCCUGGAAUCCAGCUGUCCCCUCUCAAUUCUCCUGAGAGAGACUGGAACAGGAGAACGUUAUGACCAUGAGGGCUCUCUUUCUCUACUGACCAUGAUUUAGUUGAUCAAAAAGCCUCUGGAAAGCCUAACAAAGAUUCAGACUGCCAGGAAGCAUCACCGUCUUAAGCCUGACUCCAUCACUGUGAGAGAAGAAACUGCAGGGAGCUCCUAGACAUACUCUACAUAUGAUCCAUGAACCACAGACUGAAAACCGCUGGUCUAGCAUUUUCUUGUCUCUUGAUCUGAGGGCAGAACAGCUUCUCUUUCUGGUUACACCAAUGAUUACAUCCCGGAGUAUACUGAUGUUAUAUUACCAUCCCAUGCGGCAGGUAGUGUAGCUUUGAGAGCCAUUGCACAAUAUGAAUUCCCCCAACACAGUGCCUGGAAACAAAUUAAAGAAACACCUGUGCUAAAUAAUACUGGGCUAAUCCACUAUUAAAAUUCAUAAAUUGUCCUCCAGCAGAGGUUUUCAUUGUUUAUAGGUGCUGAGCUGCCAUAGUAUCUUCAGUGAAGGAGAUAAUCUGAAGCCAAGGUGGCUUAAUAAACACUUCCAGAAAGAUUUUGCAGAGCCCAUGUUUCAGACAAAGCUUGAAUAAGCUGUUUAUAACAAGGACCAAAGAAUGGAAAUUCUGGGGAGAGCCAGGCAAGGGGGCAAUUCCCCCAGAAGAGUUUUGUGAUUUUUAGAAUAGAAUGAUCUGGUACACAGAAGGAUAACAGAAUAAAUAGUUUUUAGAAAGGAAAAUGAUAGCAUUGGAUUCUGAAACUAAA